rnacentral:rRNA from 1 species
GUGCCAGCCGCCGCGGUAAUACGAAGGGAGCUAGCGUUGUUCGGAAUUACUGGGCGUAAAGGGCGCGUAGGCGGCUCGAUUAGUCAGAUGUGAAAGCCCUGGGCUCAACCCGGGAACUGCGUUUGAUACUGUCGAGCUUGAAUUCGGGAGAGGUGAGUGGAAUUCCCAGUGUAGAGGUGAAAUUCGUAGAGAUUGGGAAGAACACCCGUGGCGAAGGCGGCUCACUGGACCGACAUUGACGCUGAGGCGCGAAAGCGUGGGGAGCAAACAGGAUUAGAUACCCGCGUAGUCC